rnacentral:rRNA from 1 species
GCUUUACACAUGCAAGUCGAACGGCAGCGCGGGGGCAACCCUGGCGGCGAGUGGCGAACGGGUGAGUAAUAUAUCGGAACGUACCCAAGAGUGGGGGAUAACGUAGCGAAAGUUACGCUAAUACCGCAUACGAUCCAAGGAUGAAAGCAGGGGACCGCAAGGCCUUGUGCUCCUGGAGCGGCCGAUAUCUGAUUAGCUAGUUGGUAGGGUAAAGGCCUACCAAGGCAUCGAUCAGUAGCUGGUCUGAGAGGACGACCAGCCACACUGGAACUGAGACACGGUCCAGACUCCUACGGGAGGCAGCAGUGGGGAAUUUUGGACAAUGGGCGCAAGCCUGAUCCAGCAAUGCCGCGUGAGUGAAGAAGGCCUUCGGGUUGUAAAGCUCUUUUGUCAGGGAAGAAACGGUUGUGGCUAAUAUCCGCAACUGAUGACGGUACCUGAAGAAUAAGCACCGGCUAACUACGUGCCAGCAGCCGCGGUAAUACGUAGGGUGCAAGCGUUAAUCGGAAUUACUGGGCGUAAAGCGUGCGCAGGCGGUUUUGUAAGUCUGUCGUGAAAUCCCCGGGCUCAACCUGGGAAUGGCGAUGGAGACUGCAAGGCUAGAAUCUGGCAGAGGGGGGUAGAAUUCCACGUGUAGCAGUGAAAUGCGUAGAGAUGUGGAGGAACACCGAUGGCGAAGGCAGCCCCCUGGGUCAAGAUUGACGCUCAUGCACAAA